rnacentral:rRNA from 1 species
AUUGAACGCUGGCGGCAGGCCUAACACAUGCAAGUCGAGCGGAUGAAGGGAGCUUGCUCCUGGAUUCAGCGGCGGACGGGUGAGUAAUGCCUAGGAAUCUGCCUGGUAGUGGGGGAUAACGUCCGGAAACGGGCGCUAAUACCGCAUACGUCCUGAGGGAGAAAGUGGGGGAUCUUCGGACCUCACGCUAUCAGAUGAGCCUAGGUCGGAUUAGCUAGUUGGUGGGGUAAAGGCCCACCAAGGCGACGACCCGUAACUGGUCUGAGAGGAUGAUCAGUCACACUGGAACUGAGACACGGUCCAGACUCCUACGGGAGGCAGCAGUGGGGAAUAUUGGACAAUGGGCGAAAGCCUGAUCCAGCCAUGCCGCGUGUGUGAAGAAGGUCUUCGGAUUGUAAAGCACUUUAAGUUGGGAGGAAGGGCAGUAAGUUAAUACCUUGCUGUUUUGACGUUACCAACAGAAUAAGCACCGGCUAACUUCGUG